CAAUAGCGUAUAUUAAUGUUGUUGCAGUUAAAAAGCUCGUAGUUGAAUUUUUGCUUGCCGCCGAUGUCGGAACUUCCGUACGUUCGGCGGCGUGCAUCCUUGGGUGGAACCUGUGUGGCAUUAGGUUGUCGUGCAGGGGAUGCUCAUCGUUUACUGUGAAAAAAUUAGAGUGUUCAAAGCAGGCUUACGCCGUUGAAUAUAUUAGCAUGGAAUAAUAAGAUAGGACCUUGGUACUAUUUUGUUGGUUUGCGCACCGAGGUAAUGAUUAACAGGGACAGUUGGGGGUAUUCCAUUCCAUUGUCAGAGGUGAAAUUCUUGGAUUUCUGGAAGACGAACUACUGCGAAAGCAUUUACCAAGGAUGUUUUCAUUAA
rnacentral:rRNA from 1 species